GUGAUAAUCCAACAGAUUAUACACAAUCUCAUGUUCAUGUCAAUGGCAAUGGUAUGAGACAUUCUCCAUAUUUGCAAGGUUCAGGGGGAGUAAUCUCCCAGACAAUAACCUAUUAACAAUCAUCAGAUUGCAUAUAUUGUACUCCCUCCGUCCGAGAAAAGUUGUCCAACGCUUAGUUCAUUUUCGUUUUUGCAAAAAAAACCUUACGAUCUUAAAAUCCCUGCAAAUAACCCCUGCCUCUUCUUCCUUCCACCAUCGCCCGCUGCAGG
rnacentral:lncRNA from 1 species